UAGAAAUAAUAUUUCAAUCGUACUACGCACUACGUCUAAGUCGUUCUUAAUAUAAGCUCUUAAUAGAGCGAGAGAGAGAAAAAGAGAGAGAGAAAGAUAGCAUUACAAUAUUGUCAAACAUUCUUACCAACUUAUUUUCAGUCUCCGCUAACCAACAAAACAAAGAACAGUCGAGCAUGAAACAUUUAGUUUUUAUAUUAGAGGUGUAUACGUAUAUAUAUUUAUAUACAUCGUAGUAUACAGAGAAUUUACAAUUCCAUGUAAACAAAACACAGACGAUCGAAACCUUGAUUUGACUUUCUCCCAUUCUUCCUUAUUCUAAAUUGACGUAAUUUUCAUUCCUACCAGGACUUGUGAGCAACGUGUUUAAACCUGUUCGAGCUCUGGACUUUCUAGGUUAAUUAGUUCUUAUUCAUCAUAUUCAACUAAUAUGCAGACGUGGACAAAUUCAAGAGCAACUAUCACAUACUUCCUGCUGUUCUUCCUAUACAGUGUAAAGUAAUGGAUCUCUAUCGCAGCAACUUCCUAGUGGUGAAAUCCGGUAAUCGGUAUUGCGUACGUUAAUGUAUUUUACAUUAUAAAACGUACGCACUGCCGAGCCAGUCGCUGAUGUUCGGUGCAUUA